AGCUAAAUCCCCAGCCCCAUAGUGUCUAUAUUUAAUGCUAGAAAUGUGCUGGCUAUGGAGCUGAUCUUGGCCUCUGGAUGUGGGGGUUGAGACUGGUUUCUGUUGGUGGAGUUCUCCAGAGUUCAACUGCUGUCUCCUCACUGCUGUUUCAGACACUUCCACUUUGCUGGUCUUGCUAAUUACUUUGGCCUCCAAAGGUGUGUGUGGCCAUAUCCCCGGGGCCUGGCUGUUUUCCUGGUUGUCAUGUGUUGGGGCUCUGGCUGGUCCACCCACCAAAGGUCCAGUUGUCCCAGAGAUAAUGGAGGAAGCACAGAGCAUGAACUCAGACUCUUCUCUCAGACCCUGCUGUGCCAGAGAUCUGUGACAGGCUUGUUCAUUGUAAGUUACACAGACUGGAUCUGUACUUUCCUGUGGAGGAGUGUUUGCAUGCAGUAAGAUAACCUUCAGUGGA